AGCGAACGCUGGCGGCAGGCUUAACACAUGCAAGUCGAGCGGGCCUUUCGGGGUCAGCGGCGGACGGGUGAGGAACGCGUGGGAACGUGCCCUCUGGUUCGGAAUAACUCAGGGAAACUUGAGCUAAUACCGGAUACGCUCUUUUGGGGAAAGGCUUGCUGCCGGAGGAUCGGCCCGCGUCUGAUUAGCUAGUUGGUGAGGUAACGGCUAACCAAGGCGACGAUCAGUAGCUGGUCUGAGAGGAUGAUCCGCCACACUGGGACUGAGACACGGCCCAGACUCCUACGGGAGGCAGCAGUGGCGAAUAUUGGACAAUGGGCGCAAGCCUGAUCCAGCCAUGCCGCGUGAGUGAUGAAGGCCUUAGGGUUGUGAAGCUCUUUUAUCCGGGACGAUAAUGACGGUACCGGAGGAAUAAGCCCCGGCUAACUUCGUG
rnacentral:rRNA from 1 species